AUUGAACGCUGGCGGCAGGCCUAACACAUGCAAGUCGAGCGGGGUUUUCGGACCUAGCGGCGGACGGGUGAGUAAUGCGUAGGAAGCUACCCGAUAGAGGGGGAUACCAGUUGGAAACGACUGUUAAUACCGCAUAACGUCUACGGACCAAAGUGUGGGACCUUCGGGCCACAUGCUAUCGGAUGCGCCUACGUGGGAUUAGCUAGUUGGUGGGGUAAUGGCUCACCAAGGCGACGAUCCCUAGCUGGUUUGAGAGGAUGAUCAGCCACACUGGAACUGAGACACGGUCCAGACUCCUACGGGAGGCAGCAGUGGGGAAUAUUGGACAAUGGGCGCAAGCCUGAUCCAGCCAUGCCGCGUGUGUGAAGAAGGCCUUCGGGUUGUAAAGCACUUUCAGUAGGGAGGAAGAGUUGAGUGUUAAUAGUACUCAGCUUUGACGUUACCUACAGAAGAAGCACCGGCUAACUCUGUGCCAGCAGCCGCGGUAAUAC
rnacentral:rRNA from 1 species